GCUAGAAGUUGACAGCUCCAACAGACAGGCAGGUAUACUUUGGGAAAACACCCAAGUGAGACCUGAUCACUUGUACACUACAUCAAGGCAUAAUAUGCAACACGCUUUACGGAAAAUAGAGACUGUUCUGAUGGCACCUGAUGCUGAUGAUGCUGCCACUAGCACCAAGCAUGAGUUUGAGGAACACAAACCUGCUCCGCUGAUGAGGCAGCGGUCAAGGACAUGGAGUCAUGAAUUAAGGCAGCCAUCACCAGGAGUUGUCCGGACACAAUUUGCAUCUGGAUACCCCACAGCAAGCUAUGAAUUCCGCCCAGAAAAGCGACAAAGGGAGUUAAGGGAAGAUCCGCAGAGCAUGGUGAAGCAGUUGUUAACAAAGUGCGCUGAAGCAUUAAGUGAGGAGAGGAUAGAGGAGUUCCUUAAGCUUGUUCAGCAAGCUCGUGGAGUUGUAUCAAUUACUGGGGAACCAAUACAGCGGUUAGGUGCUUACCUUCUUGAGGGUUUGGUUGCUAGACAUGGAAACUCGGGUACAAACAUAUAUCGUGCUUUGAAGUGCCGUGAGCCGGAGAGUAAUGAACUUUUGUCCUACAUGAAGAUUUUAUACAAUAUCUGUCCGUACUUCAAGUUUGGCUAUAUGGCUGCUAAUGGGGCAAUUGCAGAGGCAUUGAGAAAUGAGGACAAAAUCCAUAUAGUUGAUUUCCAGAUUGCUCAAGGGACACAAUGGAUAACACUGAUCCAAGCACUAGCUGCAAGGCCUGGGGGUCCACCACAUGUGCGGAUCACUGGAAUUGAUGAUCCAGUGUCAGAGUACGCCCGUGGUGAAGGUCUGGACCUUGUAGGGAAGAUGUUGAAAAGCAUGUCCGAAGAAUUCAGGAUACCUCUGGAGUUUACCCCUCUACCCGGUGUCUAUGCCACCCAAGUCACAAAAGAAAUGCUAGACAUCAGGCCAGGCGAAGCACUUGCUGUCAACUUCACUCUGCAGCUACACCACACCCCAGAUGAGAGCGUGGACGUCAACAACCCACGGGACGGGCUACUCCGGAUGGUGAAAGGGCUGUCCCCAAAGGUGACCACGCUGGUGGAGCAGGAGUCGCACACCAACACGACACCGUUCCUGAUGAGGUUCAGCGAGACCAUGGACUACUACUCGGCCAUGUUCGAGUCGAUUGACGCGAACUUGCCACGGGACAGCAAGGAGCGGAUCAACGUGGAGCAGCACUGCCUUGCCAAGGACAUCGUGAACAUCAUCGCCUGUGAGGGGAAGGACCGGGUAGAGCGGCACGAGCUCCUGGGCAAGUGGAAGUCGAGGCUGACCAUGGCUGGGUUCAAGCCGUACCCGCUAAGCUCGUACGUGAACUCGGUGAUCAGGAAGCUCCUCGCCUGCUACUCCGACAAGUACACCCUGGAGGAGAAGGAUGGCGCUAUGCUGCUCGGCUGGAAGAGCAGGAAGUUGAUAUCUGCUUCUGCGUGGCACUGACAAUAAGUUUCAGAAAAAC
rnacentral:lncRNA from 1 species